AUUGAACGCUGGCGGCAUGCCUUACACAUGCAAGUCGAACGGUAACGGGCCUUCGGGUGCCGACGAGUGGCGAACGGGUGAGUAAUACAUCGGAACGUGCCCGAUCGUGGGGGAUAACGAGGCGAAAGCUUUGCUAAUACCGCAUACGAUCUACGGAUGAAAGCCGGGGACCGCAAGGCCUUGCGCGGACGGAGCGGCCGAUGGCAGAUUAGGUAGUUGGUGGGAUAAAAGCUUACCAAGCCGACGAUCUGUAGCUGGUCUGAGAGGAUGAUCAGCCACACUGGGACUGAGACACGGCCCAGACUCCUACGGGAGGCAGCAGUGGGGAAUUUUGGACAAUGGGCGCAAGCCUGAUCCAGCAAUGCCGCGUGAAGGAUGAAGGCCUUCGGGUUGUAAACUGCUUUUGUACGGAACGAAAAGCCCUCUUUUAAUACAGGAGGGUCAUGACGGUACCGUAAGAAUAAGCACCGGCUAACUACGUG
rnacentral:rRNA from 1 species